UUUAUUUUCAUUGUAUGUGUAACAGUCUAAAAGUAUACAGGUUGUCGGUCUUCAAUUUUGUUUGUUUCAGACUUAAAGGUUGAUUACACGAUCCCUAACAACCCGACCAGCAAGCGAACAUUCAGGGUAAACGCAAUUGCUGAAUGUCCAGCAAAAUUACGAUUUCAGUUGGAUGAUGGUCAAAGGAUAUCAGUUCAAGAUUAUUUUGCCCAUGUCAAGCGUAUACAACUGAGAUUUCCACUUCUUCCAUGCCUUCAUGUUGGUUCACUUAAGAGAGAAAAGCCAGUAUAUCUUCCACCAGAGUUGUGUGAGUAACAGACAGACUUCUGCAAUGAUAAGGCAUACUGCAACAAGCACUGAUA